CAACUGCACGAUGGGAGAUUUUUCCCUUUACAUUCAUCACACAACACGGUUUAAAGAGUUAAUGGAUCACCGACUGAUGACUGUCCUAUUAGAGAUCAGGUUUCAAACCCUUGAACGCUGAAGGAUGGUUCAAAGAGAGGGAGGAUCAGCAGUUUUGUGCCUCUAGCAAGCUGGAUUUAGUUUCUGAUGGUCGUUUGGUUGAGAAGGAAUAACGUACCAGAAUCCUCACCAACACCUGAUGUGCUUUUUGUUCGGCCGCUUGACGGCUGCCUACCUCAUCACAUCGGAUCGCUCUGCCCUCCCCACGCUCAUGUCACAUUACAGAUUUACAGAAUUGUCUUUCAAAACAUCAUCUUACACGCAGAUGCUUUUCCGCCCAUGUGUACAGGAGUCUUAAGCUUUGUAAAUGGUGCUUCUUUCUAAUGUUGCGUCAUGAAUAUUUCAGCAGGCCGUUUCUACAGGCCAGAGCUCAUGCACCAUGUUUAUGGAACAUAGAAACGUGUUGAAUUUUCAUGAAGCCUGCUGUUUUACGACGCUUUAAAAGUGAAGUCGAGUGUUUUUGUUUACGUGUUGGAUGAGAUUACAGUGGUACUCAGUGCCUAAACAUGUGACUUUGGACCUGUGCUUUGUAAAAGCUGUUUUUCUGAUCGCUGUUACUGCUUCUGCUGUACCUUUGCCUUUCCCCGAGUACACUUGAUUUUCAUGCUUGACUCUUCUGUCCACUUUACUAAAGAGUAACAAUAUAGCACUUUAACUGUGGCUAUCUGUUGAAUGUGUAGGCAUUAAAUCCAGUCAUAGAGUCAUGCAAGAUUUCAAAUAAAGCUUUUGUAAAAAAAAAAAAAAGACGUUCUGUAGUUCCCAAUUUUAUUGAAAUAGUCUGAUAAUGAGCUUUCCAUGUGAAAAGUGGUGUCCAAACCAAUACAAAUAACAGUAUUCCACCUUAAAUACACUUGUGCAAAAAAGAAAUAAGAAAAGGUCUACAUUGCAGUAUGGAGUAAUUCAUGUUCACAUCCCAACCAUUCAAUAAAAUACAAUAA